rnacentral:rRNA from 1 species
GACGAACGCUGGCGGCGUGCUUAACACAUGCAAGUUGAACGGUAAAGCCCUGCUUUUGUAGCAUUCUCGAGUGCCGCGCGGGUGUGUGUCACGCGAGUAACCUCCCCUUUACUUUGGGAUACCUUCUUUGAACUGGGGCUCUUAUCCGAUAUAACCUCCUUCUGCAUGGUUUUUGUUUUUAAGUUUCGGCGGUUGGGGAUGCACUCGCGGCUUAUCAUCUUGUUGGUGGGGUGGUGGAUUACCAAGGCGUUGACGGGUAGCCGGACUGAGAGGGUGACCGGGCACAUUGGGACUGAGAUAGGGCCAAGACGCAUACGGGAGGAAGGAGUGGGGAAUAGUGCAAAAUGGGCGGAAGCAUGAAGCAGCAACGUCGCGUGCGAGAUGACGGUCUGCGGGGUGGAAACCGCUUGCGCCUGGGAAGAAGAGUGAGUGACGGUAAUGGGUAAAGAAGCACCGGCUAACUACGUG